GCAGCCCGCCAGCUGUGGUGUCACUGCUGCUGCUUUGCUCUAAGAACUCUGUUCUGAAAUGCUGGAUUUGAGGCCUCUGCACGUGGCACAACAAAAAAGAGGUCUUCCCCAGAGAUGCUUAAUGGAUUUACCUGACAGAACUGGAUAAUCUUCCUCACUGGUGAAGUGGAAAUGGCAUUUAUGGGAAAGAUACUGGAGUACAUGGAAUCAAGAAGGAAGCCUUCGGACCUUGACUUGUAAAACCCAAAGGAACCAAGGCAUGAUGGUUCUUGCGACAGGAUUGUUGAACACUGUCGCUGGCAUGGUUACUGCUUGUUUACUGCUGCACCACUGCUGGAUUCUUGUUGAGUACACUGCUAUGCUAUGUAUGGCUUCUCAUCUUCCCCUGCAACUUUGUGUCACUCGCUCAAGAUUCAAACUCUAGGAUGAGUAUAAGUUUGGCUGAACUUAAGUAAUGUAUCCAGGUGCUUUGUGUCAAAGAGAAGGGAGGAAAUAUGGUCCUGAAGUUAGAUAUGAAGGUUAAAGCUGGCAUCGUAAGACAAGAGAAGGGAGCAUGGACUGAUAAAGCAGACUGGAGGGAUGGCUCAUGACAGUCUGAGGUAAGCCAAGAUCUCAUUCAUAUAAAUUGGACAAUAAAAAAAGAAAAUGUUAUUUUUCAGUAUCUGGUUCAGCCUUGUUCCCACCCUGCUCACCCUUAGUAGCUACUAUUUUUUUUUUAUUUCUUCUGUAUCUGUCUAGAAUUUUUUCUAUAAUCAAGUAACAUGAAUACAGAGUCUUUUCUUCCCUAUCUACACAUAAGAAAACAUAUUAAAUCACUGUUCUACAUUGUGCUUUUUGUAUUUAAUGUAUUUUGCCGUUCUUUAUCCGUACAUAAUUUCUUCCCUUUUUUAUACAGUUCCAUAUAUGAUUUGUGGCUUAUCAUAAUUUAUCUUUAAAUUACAUAGAAUAUAAAAUAAACAGGUUUAAAUUAUCAUAAUUUAAGAUAAACCAGUACAUUACUGAUAUCUAAGUUUUUCCUUCAACCUUUUGCCGUCGCAAACUAAUCUUGCAAUGGAUAUUCAAAAGUCAUUUUGCAAGUGUACGUGUAUGUCUAUUGAAUAUAGAUGCAGAUAUAAUAAAUUUCCAAAUGGGAAAUUUCCCAAUUGAAAAAUACAUACAAACUUUGCUCCAUUAGGCUUGAAUUUUUGCUCCCAUUCGCAGUGUGAGAGACUGCCCAUUUUAUCCUAGCAACUUCACAAAAAACCAUGACUUUGCACUUUUGUAUUUCUGCAUAUCCAAUGAAUUUCACAUUUUUUCUUGCCACUUUUAUUUAUAUUUGUUUAUCAAAUUUUGUCAAUUUUAAAUUUAGUCUUUUAAAUUUUUGUGAAUGUUCCUUAACAUCAUCAAAUUAUCUUUCUCUUGUCAUUUCUAAAUGAUGCAUUGGUGAGAAUGCCAUUUUCCUCCACACAAUUAUAAUGGAAUCUCCCAUAUUAUCUUCUGGAGCUUUUAUGCUGUUAUUUUUUACAUUUAAAUCUUUGAUCCACUGGUUGUAAUUUAGUGUAAUGAGUAUGAUGGAACUCCAAAUCCAUCUUUUUCACAUAGAUACCCAGUUACCCAUUUAUUCAAGUCUAUAAUUUGCUGUCUUGGGUGUCACAUUUAUUCUACAUUAAAUUGCCAUACAAUUUAGAUUUAUUUUUUGAUUUUUAAUCAUAAUACAUUGGUCCAUUUGCCCAUAUUUAUGAAAAAAAUCUCUUACCCACUAGGGUCAUAAUUUACUUCUUAGAAGACCUUGAGGCAGAUUGUUGCGCUGGGUUUAAUUUUAACUACUGAAAAAAUAACCUGUGGUAUGAAAGUAUAAGAAAGCUUGAGAGAAACACUGUUACAGUGAAAUUUUCUUUUUUUUGCCAAAAAUCUCUCCCUUUCCAGCCUUUCCAUAAUUCUUGAAAUUAUUAUACAGUGUAUACUUUAGGGUUACUGUGUGGAUAACUCUCUUUCAAAUGCAAAUAUUAAACUACUUAAAACAUUUUUUAACAAAAUAAUAUGUAGCUAGAGAUAAACCUUAGACACAGCAGUCAAAAUCCAGGGUAAAUUACAUUAUAUCAGAGGCACUGGAAAAUCUUCAAGGAAGUCUUCCAUUUUAAAAGAGCUUAUAUGCCUUUCUGUUCCCUGUCCAUUUAUUUCCAUAAGGCCAUAUUAAAUUAAUCCCAUGGUCAGCAAUCUGCUGAGUACUGUGUCAAGAGCGCAGUAAAAGUUCAAUAUAUGAUUCUAAUCUGAGGAAUUUUUUAUCCAGAGUAAAGAUUGAUGUUUACUGCUACCAAGGAGAGUUUGAGGAUUGUUAUGUUACUAUCUUCCUUUUAUUAUCCUUAUACGUUACAGAUGCAGGCUGAACUUCAUUCCCAAAUUCAAAAAAAAAA
rnacentral:lncRNA from 1 species